UACAGAGGUCCCAACCGUUGUUCGGAUUCAUUGGGCGUAAAGGGUGCGUAGGCGGCGGAGCAAGUCAGGUGUGAAAUCUCGGGGCUCAACCCCGAAACUGCACUUGAUACUGCCUUGCUCGAGUACUGGAGAGGAGACUGGAAUUUACGGUGUAGCAGUGAAAUGCGUAGAUAUCGUAAGGAAGACCAGUGGCGAAGGCGAGUCUCUGGACAGUUACUGACGCUGAGGCACGAAGGCCAGGGGAGCAAACGGG
rnacentral:rRNA from 1 species